rnacentral:lncRNA from 1 species
GUCUCUUUCAUUUUUUAAAGAAUUUUCUAUUUCUGAAAUUUUUUGUAAUCUAUAGUUUUGUCCAUCUUCUAUAGGUAAUUCUGGAUAUAAAUCAGGAGCUGUAGGUUGUUUCAUUUUUAAAAGUAAAAAUUGAUUUUUUUUUUUCUCUUAAAUCCCACAGAAUUCUUUCUCUGUCAGUUCUCCCGGUUUUUUUUUUUUGGGAGUAAGAAAAUUUGGUGUUUUUUGGGGUGUUUUUUUGCUUUUUUUUUUAUGAAAAUUUAGGGCUCUUUUUACUUGAAAUGAGGGUAAUUUUUUUGGGGGUCAAAUUUUUUUUUUUUGGGGGAGGGGGGCGCUGGAGUCGUUCAAGUACUAUACUACUCCCCUUAGGGGAAAAAAUAAGUUUUAUAAAAAAACCCAGGAUUAAGGUUUUGGUGUGCUCUUUACAAAAAAAAUUUUUUAUUUUUUUAUGGGGGGUAUAAAUACAAAGUGUGUUUUUUUUCUUCUUAAUUUUGAAGUUAAAAAUCACACAAAAAUGUUGGUAAAAUUUUUAUUUUGGAUGUAAAAAGGGUUUUUUUCUUUAAAAUGGGGGGUCAAAAAUUGAAGAUAAUUUUUUUUUUUUUGUGGGGGGCUAAAGGAGUGGUAUAUUGUGUGUUGUUAGCAUCCAAACAGUCUGGUGUCACUCUAAUCUUCGGUAAUUUAUCAAAGUACCAAACUGCGUUUUGUAUGAUUUCACUUUUCAUAAAUUGAUUAUCAUCUCUUAAUUUCUUCAUGUAGUUAACCCGGCUCUUCCACCAAUUAAAUUGGUGAUGUUCUAUUUGAUCCGUGAAGAGACAUUUCCAGUCAUUAAUUCCACUUUCAAUUUUUUCGAUAGAUAUUUUGUCAAAAACUGGCGUGGAUACUUUUGGUACACCCUUUGGCAAUUCUACUUCACCUUUAUCGUUAAACAUGAACAUUCCACUUGUUGAAAUCUUC